GAUGAACGCUGGCGGCGUGCCUAAUACAUGCAAGUCGAGCGAAGAGGGGACGGGUGAGUAACACGUGGAUAACCUCCUAUAAGACUGGGAUAACUUCGGGAAAACGGAGAUACACCGGAUGCUUAUAGAUGGAACCGCGCUGCAUUAGCUAGUUGGUAAGGUAACGUCUUACAAAGGCAACGAGUCAUAGCCGACCUGAGAGGUUGAUCGGCCACACUGUAACUUCGUCACGGUCCAGACGCCUACGGGAGGCAGCAGUAGUGAAUCUUCCGCUAUGGGCGAAAGCCUGACGGAGCAACGCAGCGUGAGUGAUGAAGGUCUGCGGAUCGUAAAACUCUGUUAUUAGGGAAGCGGUACCUAAUCAGAAAGCCACGGCUAACUACGUGCCAGCCGCCGCGGUAAUUC
rnacentral:rRNA from 1 species